GCUCUGUCGUGGUUAUUGGGGAGUUUAGAUCUUGAAUCUUUUCAAUACUUUUUUUUUUGGAAAAGAUUCAAGAUCUAAACUCCCCAAUAACCACGACAGAGA